AUGUCCCCCGAUGAGUGCGUAGGCAGCACUGAAGACUGUGUAGGCACUGAUCGUUUGUCAUAUUCCACGCUCUCCAGUGUAGCUCUGGUCUCAUCUCCAGGCCAUUCGGUGCCCUGGGCUGUGCCUUUCAAUAAUAGACAGAUUGUGUGUGGAAAGCCCCAGAGCCAGAGCUACUGAGGACGCUCUGUUAAAAAAAGUCACAGUCUUGAGAUGACUCAGCAGUCUGGCAGCUUCCUUAAAGCCUGCUGGACCUCACCACAUGUACGCAAUGGCCUUGCUGUGUUGUGUACAGCAGUUUAAGAAUAGAGUCCUCUUUGAUUGUAUGUAUAAAGAGUUGAACUGUAAUUAGAGUAAAAUACAGGCUUCUAAUUGUUCUGUAGAGGUCGCUAAACUUUAAUUUGCUCCGUCGCAAGUCCUUCAGACAUAGAUAAGAGCUACACAUGUGUGUUUAGUUAUUUACUCUAAAUAUAUUAUGUCACAACAGAGUUUUCUGAUUGUUCAGAGUGAAUCAGUCUCUCCCAGUUACGUAAUGCUUCAGUCUGCACCUGGACAUGUUGUGACAUCUUUUCCCAAAGGUGCAAAGGUGUCUCUGCGGCUUCAAUGGGGUUAGAGGCGUCCCGCUCAUAAACACACUCACGGGUCAUGAGAGCAAUGACCUGCAGUAAAACACGUCAACUGUGCUCAACAGCUGAGCUCUGAUGAUAAACACUGCAGGAAGACUGCUCAUAUAUGCACAUCCAUCCACAACGAAUUAGUUUGAACUGGUAGAUAAUACGUUUGGUUGAGUCAG